rnacentral:lncRNA from 1 species
GCCACUGUGAAAACAACGCAGAUACAGCACCAGGGCAGACACUCGCCCCCAGGGGUGGCUCCCCCAGAUCCCAGGCCUCUAGGCCCCGCAUCAACAGUGCACUGCAGACACUCACGGCCUUCCCACACUUUGUCCUCACUUGCAACAGGGGCUUCUGGUGGGUCUAGCGUUUCUAAAGCACCCACUAUGGAUGCACAGCAGGACAGACCCAAGUCCCAAGACUGCCUGGGCCUAGUGGCCCCCCUAGCAUCU